AUUGAACGCUGGCGGCAUGCCUUACACAUGCAAGUCGAACGGCAGCACGGGUGCUUGCACCUGGUGGCGAGUGGCGAACGGGUGAGUAAUACAUCGGCACAUGUCCUGUAGUGGGGGAUAGCCCGGCGAAAGCCGGAUUAAUACCGCAUCCGAUCUACGGAUGAAAGCGGGGGACCUUCGGGCCUCGCGCUAUAGGGUUGGCCGAUGGCUGAUUAGCUAGUUGGUGGGGUAAAGGCCUACCAAGGCGACGAUCAGUAGCUGGUCUGAGAGGACGACCAGCCACACUGGGACUGAGACACGGCCCAGACUCCUACGGGAGGCAGCAGUGGGGAAUUUUGGACAAUGGGCGAAAGCCUGAUCCAGCAAUGCCGCGUGUGUGAAGAAGGCCUUCGGGUUGUAAAGCACUUUUGUCCGGAAAGAAAUCCUUGGCCCUAAUACGGUCGGGGGAUGACGGUACCGGAAGAAUAAGCACCGGCUAACUACGUG
rnacentral:rRNA from 1 species